AGUCAUGCCGGCGGGAAUCAAUUUUGGGGAAGGGGGAUUUUUUUGAACCUAACUUUGAAGUGCACUUCCUUGCUUGGCAGGUUAGCGUCGAUUUUGAAUAUCAUAAAAUGAUUGGAGGAAGGUAGCUCCUUCGGGAGUGUUAUAGCCUUUAAUUAAUGUGAUGUUUGGGAUCGAGGAUUGCAACGGAUACCUUUUAGGCUAGCCGCCUGGCCUCUGAUUCGAUGUUGGGUUAUAGACAGCAUGCUGACUAUGAUCUGAUUAUUGGUCAAAAGGUUAGAGCGAGCAUAAA
rnacentral:rRNA from 1 species